AGCGAACGCUGGCGGCAGGCUUAACACAUGCAAGUCGAGCGGGCCCUUCGGGGUCAGCGGCGGACGGGUGAGUAACGCGUGGGAACGUGCCUUCUGGUCUGGAAUAACCCUGGGAAACUAGGGCUAAUACCGGAUACGCCCUUUUGGGGAAAGGUUUACUGCCGGAAGAUCGGCCCGCGUCUGAUUAGCUAGCUGGUGGGGUAACGGCCUACCAAGGCGACGAUCAGUAGCUGGUCUGAGAGGAUGAUCAGCCACACUGGGACUGAGACACGGCCCAGACUCCUACGGGAGGCAGCAGUGGGGAAUAUUGGACAAUGGGCGCAAGCCUGAUCCAGCCAUGCCGCGUGAGUGAUGAAGGCCUUAGGGUUGUAAAGCUCUUUUAUCCGGGACGAUAAUGACGGUACCGGAGGAAUAAGCCCCGGCUAACUUCGUG
rnacentral:rRNA from 1 species